GGGCCCGCACAAGCGGUGGAGCAUGUGGUUCAAUUCGACGCAACGCGAAGAACCUUACCCAGGCUUGAACUGCGAGUGACAACCUACGAAAGUAGGCUUCCGCAAGGACGCUCGUAGAGGUGCUGCAUGGCUGUCGUCAGCUCGUGUCGUGAGAUGUUGGGUUAAGUCCCGCAACGAGCGCAACCCUUGUCUUCUGUUGCCAUCGGGUUAUGCCGGGCACUCUGAAGAGACUGCCGGUGACAAACCGGAGGAAGGUGGGGAUGACGUCAAGUCAGCAUGGCCUUUAUGUCUGGGGCCACACACGUGCUACAAUGGCCGGUACAAACCGUCGCGAGCCCGCGAGGGGGAGCUAAUCGGAGAAAGCCGGUCUCAGUUCGGAUUGUAGGCUGCAACUCGCCUGCAUGAAGUUGGAAUCGCUAGUAAUCGCGGAUCAGCACGCCGCGGUGAAUACGUUCCCGGGCCUU
rnacentral:rRNA from 1 species